GUUUAACCUGAACAGGCAUGCUGCAAGAAGCUGUACAAUUGGCUGAAAAUUGCUCCUUAUCAAGUAGACCAACAAAUCGAAGAAGAUGAGGAUUUUGAUACUCGUGAUGGGAUCAGAGUAAUGGGGAUUGCGUAUGUCCCUGAUCGAGAAAUACCUGCAUUUUGUGCCUUAAUAGAUGGAGAUGGUGAGGUGACGGACUAUCUCAGGCUUCCUCACAUUCUGUACCGAAAGAACUCUUGGAGAGAUAGUGAACGGGCCAUGAAGGAAGCUGAUAUGAAUGCUUUCAGUUUUAAUCCAAAUUUUUUUAGCCAGAAAA